AUUGAACGCUGGCGGCAUGCUUUACACAUGCAAGUCGAACGGUAACAGGCCUGAGGGUGCUGACGGGUGGCGGACGGGCGAGUAAGGCAGCGGUACGUGCCCAACUGCGGGGGGGAAGGCAGCGAAUACUGGACUAAGACCCCAUGUGAGCUUAGGGUGGAAACGGGGAAGCAGGCGGCAAUGUUUGGCCUCGCGCCUUUGUAGGGGCAGAUGGCAGAUUAGGUAGUUGGUGGGGUAAAGGCCUACCAGGGCGACGAUCUGUAGCUGGUCUGAGAGGACGACCAGCCACACUGGGACUGAGACACGGGCCAGACUCCUACGGGAGGCAGCAGUGGGGAAUGUUGCACAAUGGGCGCAAGCCUGAUGCAGCAAUGCCGCGUGCGUGAAGAAGGCCUUCGGGUUGUAAAGCGCUUUCGUCGGGGAGGAAAGGGGUCUGGUUAAUACGUGCAGCUGUUGACGUUACUGGAAGAAGAAGCACCGGCUAACUACGUG
rnacentral:rRNA from 1 species